AGGGAUAUAACUCAGUUGGUUAGAGUGAAAAACUUUUAAUUUUUAAGCCAGGAGUUCGAAUCUCCUUAUCCCUA
rfam:Malassezia pachydermatis strain CBS 1879 scaffold15, whole genome shotgun sequence.